GUCUACAGCCACGCUACCCUGAACAUGCCCGAUCUCGUUUGAUCUCGGAAGCUAAGCAGGGUCGGACCUGGUUAGUACUUGGUUGGGCGACCACUUAGGAAUACCAGGUACUGUAGGUG
rnacentral:rRNA from 1 species